UUGUCCUUAUAUCUGUCCCUCAUCUAUAUUCCUGUGGUUUGUUUGUGCAGCCUGGCCUUGAUGCUUCCUUGAGGAGACAGCAGCAGUGUCUGGGAAGCUUCCCAGUUUGCCACUGACCACUUCAAACGGACUUGAAAACCUUCCUUAAAUAAAGCUGCCGCGGAUCCAGACGCACCACAACAUCUUGUUUGGCGUCGGCUGUAGCGAGACAACACACAGCCUUCUCGCUGGUGAGUUUGUGCAAAUCUGGCUUGCUGAAGGGUUGGCACAGAAGCUGGCAGUAUGUACAAGUCGGUGGCGUCAGAAUCUGUUUGCAGUUAACCAGUAACGCAACAUUUUAAUAAGCAGGGUGUGGCGUUGUAAAAAAAUGUUUUCCUUUACCUGCGUGAAGGUACUAGUGUGCAUUGUGGAGGCCUGGAUGUGCAGCACCACCCUAUCCACCAGAGGUUUGGGACCGGUUACAAAACCUAUCCUUAGUCUAAAACACACAGACAAUUAGUAAUAGACAUCCAGGACAUGUUGGUGAAGAUCUGCAUAAUGUGGCUCAGAAUAUAAAGUGACGUUUGCCGAUUCUAAUUCUGAUGUAGCUAUCCUGACAGAAAUUAAAGAAAAUUGUUUAAUAAAAAUAAGGCAGAUCAUUGACAGUCAGCACACAAUGUCCUAAUCUGUGGAGCCUCAGACUAGUCAAAGCUGCUAUGAUUAUGUCAAACAUCUGGUUUUUAUCAUUUGGAUUUGGGAAAUGUGAGUGGCAUUUUAUAGUUUAAGAUGCUUAGGAUGUAAAUGUAAAAGGAAGUGUCUAUAAUAUGUUAUUAGGGUUUUUUAGGAAUGUUUUUACAGUCAGUUUGUACUUUUAAAAGUUUUCAUAAUGUGCUCAAUACAAGCUAAAGAAAACAACAUGGUUUCCUACAAACAAACCAUCAGAUGUGACCAGCAGGGAUUACACCAGCAAAAUAAAUACGAUACUAUACGAUAGACGGGGGGGGGGGAAAUAACACACCCAGUUUACAUAUCUGGUCCUGACUCGUUAAAGGAAGAGCACAAACACUGUGCUGUAGCAGAGUCAAUAUAACCCUAAAUGGCAACAGCAGAGCUUCAGAUGCACUGGGUUUAUACACACACACACACACACACACACACACUCAGAUUCGGAAGCUCACCCUGAAGACAGGAUCUUAGAGAAGGAGUCUGUCCUGAUGAUCCUGCCGUCGACAUCCAUGGAGAGAAACGUGGGAGCCCACGGCUGCCAAAUAGAUGAGACAUACAGGAACAGGAAUUCUUAUGUCAUCAAUUGAAUUAUUGACAUUCUUUAAUGGUUCUCCCAAAAGAUGAGGUCAUAAAGUAACAAAAAAUUAGAAGUGAACUAUUUUUUAAAUAGACAGAAAAGUAACUUUGUUUGAUGAACAGAUGAGGGGAGUGAACUCUUUUUGUACCUUGUCAAACUGCAGGAAGAAGUAUGGGUCGUCCUCAAUGAUGAGCAUGUCGUACUGCCUGGCCAGCUAUUAAAAAAGACCGGGGGACGUUAGAAAAUGACUGUGAAUCUGCAGGGAAAUCAGCUUCACUACAAGCUCUAAUUGCAUAAAUCAGAGUGAGAGAGGAGUGAUUCAUAAAUGAUCUGCAUUGUGUGCAUGCAGUCACAUUCACAACUAUAUGAGUCUUUGUUUUGUGACCUUGCCGAGGGGAGACCAACCUCAUACACUUCCUGCUUCCUCUGAGCCGUCAUGGAGGCACCGGUGGGGUUUCCUCCGUUGGGGAUGGUGUAGAGGAUCUUGGGGACAGUGCUGCUGGGCUUAUGGACGUCUGAGGGGUCCCACCGAGACAAAACCUCCUUCAGGGCUGCGGGUAUGAUGCCGUGCUGAUCGCUGGGGACGUUGAUUAAGUUGCAACCGAGCGGCUGGAGCUACAAAGGAAAAAAGAAGUUUGGAAGGUCACAGAAGCUUAACUUACCUCAUCUUUGUGUUGUUAUAAAUUAGAGCUGCGGAGAUUAGUUGUCAACUUUCAAAGUAAUUACUAACUAUUUUGAUAAUCGAUUUAUCGGUUUGAGUAAUCUGUUA